UCCGGUUUAACACCGGCAGUCUCGUUAGAGUGCCCGGCCGAACUGUUGGCAACAGGACACAAGGGUUGCGCUCGUUGCGGGACUUAACCCAACAUCUCACGACACGAGCUGACGACAGCCAUGCAGCACCUGUGUACGGACUCCGAAGAGGGGCCGAUGUUUCCACCGGCUUUCCCGUGCAUGUCAAGCCCAGGUAAGGUUCUUCGCGUUGCUUCGAAUUGAACCACAUGCUCCACCGCUUGUGCGGGCCCCCGUCAAUUCCUUUGAGUUUCAGCCUUGCGGCCGUACUCCCCAGGCGGGGUACUUAUUGCGUUAGCGACGGCACUGAAGGGGUCGCUCCCCCCAGCGCCUAGUACCCAUCGUUUACGGCGUGGACUAC
rnacentral:misc_RNA from 1 species